AUGGUUACUACUCAAGCUGAGCAAGUACUUAAAGCUCAAAAUGAUUUGCUUGAUGAAUUAAAUAGUAAAAAUGACUUUGCUGUUAGAGUGGCUACUAGAACUGGUAGAAUGACUCAGGAACCUUUGUAUCCUGAAGGACACCCUAAGAGAAUCGAGCAAGAUUCUCAGAGAAAUAAUUUAGAGGCACCUAGUUCUUCCAAAAAGAAGAAAAAGAAAAACGAUAGGACUUUGCAUGCUUCUAGCAAACCUACUUUAGACACACCUGAGAAUCCCAAUGAUAUUUCUAUUUCUGAUGCUGAAACACAACCAGGUGAUGAACAUGAACCUAGUGAUAAUGUCAAUGAUAAUGUUCAUGUUGAUGCUCAACCUAGCAAAAACAAUGAUGUAGAGAUUGAACCUGUUGUUGAUCUUGAUAACCCACAAUCAAAGAAUCAACGUUAUAAUAAGAGAGAUUUUGCUGCUAGGAAGCACAGUAAAGAAAGAGAACCAUGGGUUCAGAAACCCAUACCCUUUCCUCCUAAACCAUCCAAGACAAGUGAUGAUGAGGAUUUUGAGCGCUUUGCUGAAAUGAUUAGACCUAUCUUCUUACGUAUGCGCUUAACUGAUAUGCUCAAAGAAAAUCCUUAUGCUAAGUAUAUGAAGGAUAUCAUUACAAACAAAAGAAAGAUACCGGAAGCUGAAAUUUCUACCAUGCUUGCUAAUUACACUUUUAAGGGUGGAAUACCAAAGAAACUUGGAGAUCCGGGGGUACCAACUAUACCAUGCUCCAUUAAAAGAAAUUAUGUUAGAACUGCUUUAUGUGAUCUUGGAGCCGGUGUUAGUGUUAUGCCUCUCUCUUUAUAUCGUAGACUUGAAUUGAAUAAGUUGACACCUACUGAAAUAUCUUUGCAAAUGGAUGAUAAAUCAACUGCCAUACCUGUGGUAUUUGUGAGGAUGUGCAUGUUGUGGUUGCAAAUGUCACUAUCUUAA
rnacentral:rRNA from 1 species